rnacentral:rRNA from 1 species
ACAUGCAGAGAACUUUCCAGAGAUGGAUUGGUGCCUUCGGGAACUCUGACACAGGUGCUGCAUGGCUGUCGUCAGCUCGUGUCGUGAGAUGUUGGGUUAAGUCCCGUAACGAGCGCAACCCUUGUCCUUAGUUACCAGCACGUUAUGGUGGGCACUCUAAGGAGACUGCCGGUGACAAACCGGAGGAAGGUGGGGGAUGACGUCAAGUCAUCAUGGCCCUUACGGCCUGGGCUACACACGUGCUACAAUGGUCGGUACAAAGGGUUGCCAAGCCGCGAGGUGGAGCUAAUCCCAUAAAACCGAUCGUAGUCCGGAUCGCAGUCUGCAACUCGACUGCGUGAAGUCGGAAUCGCUAGUAAUCGUGAAUCAGAAUGUCACGGUGAAUACGUUCCCGGGCCUU